GAUGAACGCUGGCGGCGUGCUUAACACAUGCAAGUCGAACGGGAAACCUUUUAUUGAAGCUUCGGCAGAUUUAGCUGGUUUCUAGUGGCGGACGGGUGAGUAACGCGUGGGUAACCUGCCCUAUACAGGGGGAUAACAACCAGAAAUGGUUGCUAAUACCGCAUAAGCGCACAGGGCCGCAUGGUCCGGUGUGAAAAACUCCGGUGGUAUAGGAUGGACCCGCGUUGGAUUAGCCAGUUGGCAGGGUAACGGCCUACCAAAGCGACGAUCCAUAGCCGGCCUGAGAGGGUGAACGGCCACAUUGGGACUGAGACACGGCCCAGACUCCUACGGGAGGCAGCAGUGGGGAAUAUUGCACAAUGGGGGAAACCCUGAUGCAGCGACGCCGCGUGAAGGAAGAAGUAUCUCGGUAUGUAAACUUCUAUCAGCAGGGAAGAUAGUGACGGAACCUGACUAAGAAGCCCCGGCUAACUACGUG
rnacentral:rRNA from 1 species